ACAGAUAAGUUUACACUGCAACAGUUUCACCACAAAAUGUGUUUGUCUAUCCUAACGUUAGCAGGCCGCUUCCUGGUUUGUGACGUAAGAAAUGACGAAGUCAUUUGUAUUCGUUUUUAUUGGGAUAAUGAUUCCAUAAUGACUUAAAUGGGGAAAUGAUAAACCAAUUUAAUUAGACAAAUUAGACCAAAGUAAACAAAAUAUAGGGUGUUGUUUUGUGUUUAUACGUCGGCAGGCUCCUUCCUGGUUCGUGAAUGACGUAAGAGGCUAGAAAUACACGGCGGGACUCUUCGGUUGCGGUCAGGUGCCAGGAAUCUAUUCUCUUCGGCGACAAAAGAAAACAAACGACUUUAUCUUCAUUUGCAGCAAAACUAUUUAGCGUUUGAUGGCGGUAUCACAGCACAUGCGGCUUCCUUGUGCGUAGUUACUGAAAAAAUAGUAAGAUAAAGCUCACCAGGGUUAAAAAGCACCAAGUAUUUAAGGCAGACAAACUCUUGUCUGUCAAAAUGGAGGACCUUCAGUUUGGACACCAGAUCCUGCGUCCUGGUCACCAAACCACUCAGUGUAGCUCCAGCCUGCGAGAUGAUGGUUGACAGCUCUAUCUGCUCCAGAUUGAAAGAUGCAUUAGGUCACUUGUCUGCAGAGGUGGUCCAGGACCAGCAGCUCACUCCAGCAGCUCUGCAGCAGAACCAUCUGGUCUUCUACCUGUAUGUCUGGUGAUGCAGUCCGGCGUAGGGAAGCGGCAGAGGAGGGGCCACCCUGUCAUCACCCACAGUGCAGUCAAAAGGUAAGUGUGCACCAGACACCCCCAUUCCAGAGGGAUACAUCAAGUGAGGCUGAUGGAAAGCAUCCGGAGACACUGGAGCGCUUGUGUGGUUGCACAUGAUUGGACAGUCACUUGCAGCGGCAGGCCAUAGCCUUUGCGUUACUUCCAUUUUGAUUCUAUAGGGGGCAGCAUUUGUCUGGGGUUGCACUUUUUGUUCUUUCAUCUGCCUGUAGAGAGGCCCAAAUUUAUUCCUGCCGCCUCUCAUGCGGUCCGCUCUCACUGCUGAACACAAAAGUGGACAAACAGAAGGCCAUUACCGGAAAUAGCACUUUUUUUUCCAAUAGCUGAGCUUAUCUCUGCCUUAUAAAAUCAUCUUAUGUAAACUGGGUCAUUACCAGCACCGCUCGUAUGCGUGCCAGUGGAACAAAAGUCAAGUUGACAGGAGCAAAGUGCAUUGUGUGAUGAUCGUUCUACCUUCUUUCUUCAUGCCCACUGCCAAACACUUCUGGAAGCGGCAGGAAGGACAGCGCUUCCUCUGGGAGACGUCCAUGGGGCAGCUCUGUCCUUCUGCACAGGUGUAGUGUUUGUCGUUCUGCACAGAGCGCUUAAAGAAACCCUGCAAAGACGAACGUUAUCACGUUAUGUUACGUUAGUAGACCUUUGUGACUUACAGCAUGUUGCCACAUUGUCAUCACAGGUUUUACCUUGCAGCUCUCGCAGGUGAGCAGGCCGUAGUGGUACCCUGAAACUUUGUCUCCACACACGGGACAGCCCUCGUUGGGCUCAGGCCUUGCGUCUCGGGGCUCCAUACUGUGCUCUUGGGCUGAGGAACCACAGUAAAAACAUUACGCUUAAAGAUACAGACUUUAUUUAGCACAGGGGUUUCCAAACUCUAAUAUUGUGGGCUUCCCUCCAAGAUGUUCCAACAUUUCAAGGCUAUUCUUAAAUAUUGUUUCCGUACAGCGGAGCCCAUCCACAUGCUCCUUUCGAUGAGCACAGACUGUACUCUUUUUGUUGCCAUAUAGUGGGCUUCCUCCAGUUUUCAGUGGCAUUCUGUUUUCUUUCCAAUACCUACCUAUCUUGCCUAAAAAACCCUGCUGUAGCUUGUUAAAAUCUGAGAUAGUUGAAGUUGUGAAAUGGAGGUUCCAAGCUGUACUGAUAACACAUGUACAGUAUUCUACUGUAAUGGGAUUUCCCGUUUUUCUUUCCAUUUACAGUACUGUGCAAAGGUCAAAAUACUUUUUUCACAGCAGUCCUUUUGACAUAGUAAAACAGUAAAUGGUAGGACAAAUAGUUAGCGGGAUGACGUAAAAGACACAAAACGUGGACUUAAUGAGCCCCUCCACCCCCAAAAUAAAAAUAAUGACAGGAUCCAGGAAGUAGCCUGUAACCUAACAAACACAAAUAUGAUGCUCUAGAAGUAUUUUUUUUCCCCACUUUUUGAAACCAUUUAGCCUUGGAGGAGGUCGGAUGUUGCAGUUGGGUGAGCGGUUACGAGUUUGGUCUGCAACCAAAUGGCCGCAGGUUAAAAGGUAAAGCCCCAUAGGCAAGUGUGUGAAAUGCACAUAAAUGCUAAUUCAUGACAAUAAUACUUGUUGACGUAUUGAAAUGACAAGUUCAGUAUAAAAAUAGAAGACGGUGCUGUGAUGCACGUGUGUGGUUUAGUACUCAACGGCAGAGAGAAGAGCGCACUACUGUCGGUUACGCCGCCAUCAUUCAGUUUGCUAUGCUUCAUCAUGGAUAUGACGUGUGCAUAAUUCAUACUGGCCUACUGUGGAUUACACUGGAAGAUGGCAAUUCCCUCCCGAAAUGUAAGCAUAUUGAAAUGAUGCUAAUGCAGUACACUCACCAGUCAUUUCAUUUGGUACACCAGCUCUUAUCUAAUCCAAUGCAAAAAAAAAAUCUGCUUUUAUAAAGAUGAUAAUGUUUGGAGUGACACUGUCCCUGUCAGUUUGCAGUUGUGUAGAAGUUGAGAAGUUAAUAAUGUAAUCAUCCAUUAGAAACAGCUCUGAGUGUGAUGCAUGCUGUGGUUUUACUCCACUACAAACCAUAAUAAUUGUGAAUGAAUUAAAAUGACAACUGGAUGCUUCUUUGACUGUGUCAGUGUAUUGGGCUGUCCCCAUGGUGCACCCGCAGCUUCUACUCACAUGUUGAUGCUCCUUCUAAAGUGAACAUGUCAUCAAGGUAGCCGACUGCCUGUGCUCCAGGAGCAUGCUGCUGCUCCUGGGAAUGAUCAGGGAUGUCCAUUCUGCCUGAAGGUGCUCCACUGUCAGUCCAUUUGGAUCUGCUAUGAGGACAGUGGGGCGCACAGUGCGGGAGAGCCGGCACGCAGCCCCGAGUGCCCUGGAUGGACUGACAACCGUUUGAGGCCUACGUGUGGACUUCGGUCUGUCGACCCUGUCAUAAAACCUCUCCUGACUGGCACUCCUAGCCUAUGUGAGAGCAGCGUGUAGACGGUCAGAUAGCCACCUGCUGGAAUGUUACUGAAGUGAAUUCAUAGAGACAUCCUGAAGCUAAAGGCCUGAUAAGAUAACACUCCACUAAAUAGUGCACCACUGCAUAUUCCCAUUUCAUAUCUUCAUUUCUUCCUUUGUAUUGUGUCUUGUUUAUGGAGUCGCCAAGGAAGUGCGCUGCUCUUACGAAACAAGUGCUCCCCUAUGAUGCAAAUAAUGCAGAUGUGCUUACUUAUGUAUAUUACAGUUGUGGCAACAUUUUGCUUGAUGGCGGCCAUGUUUUUCAACAAAUCUUGCUUAAAAAAAAAGGACAAAAAGUAAAACAUGCUUGUCAGUCUCCUAAAGGUGUCUGCCAAAUUUUAUGGUGAUCCGGCUAAAUGCACGAAAGUUACACUGGAUCUUUUUUAGAGUGCAUUGAGCUGUGUGAGAAAUUUCAAGUCAGUCCCAUUUAUGGGGGUCAAAUUUGGGAGGUUUAAAAGCUGUCCCACUAUGUCAGAAAAACAAAUAGAACAGUCAAUACAGUAGAUCAGUGGUUCCCAAACUUUUUAAGUCACAUACCCCUUCAGACAUUUGACCAGAAGCCUUGCAUCCCCUACUUCUAGCACUUAAAAAAACAUAAACCUUUUUAUCUUAAUUAACUUGAAAUAUUGAACAUAAUUUAUUGGUUAAUUGAUUUCAUAGUAAUUCCAGGUCAAAAAUGUGUAAUUUGCAUGGUGACAUUUUGCUAAAGUUCCACAUGAGCAAUGAUAAAUGUAUAAGUAAUUAUCCAUCAUAUCUUUUAUUCUUGUUUUUAGUCUGAUGUUGGCAUCC